CCAACCUAUCAAACAAAAUCAUACAUGUUUUAACUAAAAAUAAAAAGUAUUCUUGUUUAAUUAAUAUUUAUGCUACUGUUGAAAAGAAGAAUCACAAACUUAGAUUUAAUCACAUAAAUUUCUAUUCAAGGAAGUGCAGACUUCAACGAUUUGGCUAAAUUUUCUAGUUCCUUCAACCCUUCCUCUGGAGAUUUUGCUUCACCCAACAAUUUUACCAUAGCACUACCAACAAUGACACCAUCAGCACCCCAUCUUGCUACCUGUUUCACAUGCUCAGGUUUUGAUAUGCCAAAGCCAACUGCUACAGGCUUAGUUGUUGCCUCUUUAAUAUCCUGCAGAAGAGUUUGUACUCGAUCACUUACAGAUGCACGGGCACCAGUAACUCCAACUGAGCUCACAAGAUACACAAAUCCCUCUGAUGCUUCAACAAUGGCUUUCAUUCUUUCUACAGGAGUAGUUGGUGUUGUAAGAAGUACCAGUUCAAUAUUAUUCUUGAAGGCUUCCUUCCUCAAAAGUUCAGAUUCCUCUAGAGGUACAUCUGGGACAACAAGUCCUUUUACACCGCUGUCUUUUACGGUGAACAUAAACUUCUCAAUUCCACGCUUUAAUAUUGGGUUGUAAUAUGUAAAUAAAGCAAUUGGACAGGUUAAUUGUGGAGCCACCUCCUUCAACAUUGAUGUUAUUGCAUCAAAAUUGGUCCCUCUUGCCAAGGAACGAGUAGCUGCUGCCUGAAUAACUGGACCAUCUGCCAGCGGAUCAGAGUAAGGAACACCCAGUUCAAUUAUGUCAGAUCCACAGGAAUCCAGCACCUUCAAGGCUUCUGCUGUGGUUGAAAG
rnacentral:misc_RNA from 1 species